rnacentral:lncRNA from 1 species
UGUUUUAAUGGCAAAGAUGGAUCAUCCCAGAGCUCAUCAUGACAGACAUAAAGCUUGUGACGUGACUGAACCUGUGUAUGAGAAUGUAACGAUGGAUAACUCCAGAGCUCAUCAUCAUGACAGGCGUAAAGCUUGUGAUGCGACUGAACCUGUGUAUGACAAUGUAACGAUGGAUCAUCCCAGACCUCAUCAUGACAGACAUAAAGCUUGUGACGUGACUGAACCUGUGUAUGAGAAUGUAACGCUUGAUGGGAAGAGGACGUAGAACUUGUGAGCUUAAUGAUUUUACAGAAUAAUGUAUCUUAGUAUCUUGAAAAUCCUUUAAUGCAGCCUAAAUCUCCUGUUUGAAUGUUAGAUUCCUGUUCAAUAAAGGCAUUUAUACAUUGACAUACAUGUAAAGCUUCUUUAAAACAAUUGUGAAAUGCCAG